AGAAGGUAAAGUUGCUUAAGAGUUUACAGCUACUGGGAAGUUGGAGUAAUAGAAACACCUACAGGUACAGGUACUGCCAGGGUCCCCCAGGUGCAUUGUUACCCCAGAUGCAACUAUCUACUACUGUGUGUGAGUCUCCCUGGGUCACUUAUUAUUG
rnacentral:sRNA from 1 species